AUAAAUUGAUACCUUGUCAUUAGAUGGUGUAUGUUUAGUGAUGUUAUUGUAAUACUCUGCCCUUUUACAGGAAUAGCUGUUUAGAGAAAACAUGACUAACAAGCAAUGUACUUUAAUUUUUAGAAUCUGCCAUAUUGGUUAACAAACAUCUAUCAAAUAGCAGUUCAAUAUUACAAAGAACUGGACAACAUGAGCCCAUUGUAGAUUCCCAUUAAGGCCCACUCUGACUCUGUUGGCAUGCACAGCAAAAUAAGUAAAUCUUUACUACUCUGCCAUAGAGCUACU